GAUGAACGCUGGCGGCGUGCCUAAUACAUGCAAGUCGAGCGAACGGACGAGAAGCUUGCUUCUCUGAUGUUAGCGGCGGACGGGUGAGUAACACGUGGAUAACCUACCUAUAAGACUGGGAUAACUUCGGGAAACCGUAGCUAAUACCGGAUAAUAUUUUGAACCGCAUGGUUCAAAAGUGAAAGACGGUCUUGCUGUCACUUAUAGAUGGAUCCGCGCUGCAUUAGCUAGUUGGUAAGGUAACGGCUUACCAAGGCAACGAUGCAUAGCCGACCUGACAGGGUGAUCGGCCACACGGGAGCUGAGACACGGACCAGACUCCUGCGGGAGGCAGCAGUAGGGAAUCUGCCGCAAUGGGCGAAAGCCUGACGGAGCAACGCCGCGUGAGUGAUGAAGGUCUUCGGAUCGUAAAACUCUGUUAUUAGGGAAGAACAUAUGUGUAAGUAACUGUGCACAACUUGACGGUACCUAAUCAGAAAGCCACGGCUAACUACGUG
rnacentral:rRNA from 1 species